rnacentral:rRNA from 1 species
GUCGAACGAGACCUUCGGGUCUAGUGGCGCACGGGUGCGUAACGCGUAGGCAAUCUACCCGAUACAGGGGAAUAACACGGGGAAACUCGUGCUAAUACCGCGUAAUAAAUGAGAAGGCAUCUUCUUAUUUUAAAAGCUUCGGCGGUAUCGGAAGAGCCUGCGUCCUAUUAGCUAGUUGGUAAGGUAACAGCUUACCAAGGCGACGAUAGGUAGGGGAACUGAGAGGUUGAUCCCCCACACUGGUACUGAGAUACGGACCAGACUCCUACGGGAGGCAGCAGUGAGGAAUAUUGGUCAAUGGACGGAAGUCUGAACCAGCCAUGUCGCGUGUCGGAAGACGGCCCUCUGGGUUGUAAACGGCUUUUCUUUGGGAAGAACACGCUCUUGCGAGAGCAACUGACGGUACCAAAGGAAUAAGCACCGGCUAACUACGUGCCAGCAGCCGCGGUAAUACGUAGGGUGCAAGCGUUGUCCGGAUUUAUUGGGUUUAAAGGGUGCGUAGGCGGCUAUUUAAGUCGUGGGUGAAAGCCCGUCGCUUAACGACGGAAUUGCCUGCGAUACUGGAUAGCUUGAGUAUCGUUAAGGUUGGCGGAAUGGGAGGUGUAGCGGUGAAAUGCAUAGAUACCUUCCAGAACACCGAUUGCGUAGGCAGCUGACUAGGCGAUAACUGACGCUGAGGCACGAAAGCGUG